rnacentral:rRNA from 1 species
AUGUCGGCUCAUCACAUCCUGGGGCUGUAGUAGGUCCCAAGGGUUGGGCUGUUCGCCCAUUAAAGUGGUACGCGAGCUGGGUUCAGAACGUCGUGAGACAGUUCGGUCCCUAUCCGUCGCAGGCGUAGGAAAUUUGAGAAGACCUGUCCUUAGUACGAGAGGACCGGGAUGGACGUACCUCUGGUGUACCAGUUGUUCUGCCAAGGGCAUGGCUGGGGAGCUAUGUACGGAAUGGAUAAGCGCUGAAAGCAUCUAAGCGCGAAGCCAACUUCAAGAUAAGAUUUCCCACCGCAAGGGUAAGACCCCAGAAAGACUAUCUGGUUGAUAGGUCGAAGGUGUAAGUGCAGCAAUGUAUUUAGCUUAUCGAUACUAAUAGGUCGAGGACUUGACCAAU